AGGACGAACGCUGGCGGCGUGCUUAACACAUGCAAGUCGAGCGGUAAGGCCUUUCGGGGUACACGAGCGGCGAACGGGUGAGUAACACGUGGGUGAUCUGCCCUGCACUCUGGGAUAAGCCUGGGAAACUGGGUCUAAUACCGGAUAUGACCUGCUCUCGCAGUGGGGGUGGGUGGAAAGAUUUAUCGGUGCAGGAUGGGCCCGCGGCCUAUCAGCUUGGUUGGUGGGGUAAUGGCCUACCGAAGGCGACGACGGGUAGCCGACCUGGAGAGGGUGACCGGCCACACUGGGACUGAGACACGGCCCAGACUCCUACGGGAGGCAGCAGUGGGAAUAGUGCACAAGUGGGACGAAAGCCUGAUGCAGCGACGCCGCGUGAGGAUGGAACGGUCCUUGGGUUAUAAACCGUCUUUACGAGCGAGGAC
rnacentral:rRNA from 1 species